GGCUGCAUCUCACAGCACUGCUAAACCACAAGAGCUACGCAGAGAAACCGGAAAAGUCUUAUGAAGCCAGACUCUAGGUUGCACUGACAAAAAAGGAAUGAUCAUUAACGAUUUCUAAAUGUUGAGUUUUGUAUUAUUUGCACUACGAGGAAUCCUUACCUUUUGAUAACAGAGAGAAGGAAAAUAUUUUUACAGAUACUAAUGAGCGGAAAUUUCCCAGAUGGUUCGCGUCAUGGAAAUGAGAUCAUGUGAUGACUAAAACUAUAAAAAAUGUGACUCGGCUCUCACCGCUAGGAAUACAAUGAACAGAGGAAACCGAAAUAAAGUGCACAACUGCUGAAACAAGGACAGAGCAAUCAAGGGAAAGAAAUGUGAAACUUAUUACAUUCUGCUAUGGCAUGCAUUCAAACUUCAUUACGGAUUUAACUCAACGCCUCAGUUUGCACUUGCCUGCAUUAUGUUACACUGUUGGAUAGCUGUGUGCUGCAGACGACUGGCUUCCUCCUGGAGUCUGAGAGCUGUGUGGCAUAUGGUACACUAAUACUACCUAAUUAUGAGCCUCUUUAUGGCACAUGGAACUGAGCUGAACUGAACUGGAACUCAACUGAGCUGAACUCAACUGAAAAUCUUCUAUUUACCCCAGUGCUCAGAGAAGUGGUGCGUCAGAAAACCUGGGUUCUUAUCCUAUC